CUUUCCGGACUUGACACUUUUUAAGACGUAAGACUGUUCCCAAGAGGGACAAUUAAAAUCAAAUCCUUGAAUUGAUCCAGUUCUGAUAUGUCACCCCAAUGAACUUUAAUUAGAUUGCAAGAGGGAAAGUUUUCUCUACUGAACAUGGUUUUGAAUGAUAGAAUCCUGCAGCAGGCUGGUAUUUGUGAUUUAAGUAUGUUGUUUUGCUGGUAGAAAAAACAGUUGAACAAAUAGAAGAGAUCCAAGAAAAAAUAAAUGUUUGCAUGAUA